AACAGUUCACGUGUCAAAAUAAGUGUCAGAAGCGAUGCAAUGUCCUGUUUGAAUAUUUUAAAUAUACAAAUUUUAUGAUCGGGCCAUGUCAGAAGUUGGAUAAAAUGAAUGAACUACCUCAACCAAACCAUAAAAAUGUAUCAAUAAGUACCACAAAUACAUACUUAUGUCCCAAACGUGGCUAUAUGGACAUUAAGGAUCAAAAAAUGGAACCUGGUGAUGCGGAUUUCUCCCAUUUUGACGAGAUGUUCCUGCAAGAUAGGAUUCUACGAGUCUUAACAAGCAAUUGCCAGCAGAGUGAAAUUAGUUUUCUGUAUCAGAAUGAGAAUUUUCUCUACGAUCCAUCUGCCAUCAGCUAUUUUGAAGAAGAAUUAGAAAGCACCUACAUCAUUUCCCCGCAGAGAAAUGUUGGCGAAGAUACAGUAGCCGUUCUGUACUUUCCUCGGGAGCACGUGGCAGAAAGAGUGGUGGUAGAAAAGAGGAAGAAUAUUUUUCGCAGGUUAUGGAUAUUAUUGGUACGAAUGCUCACAUGCGGCAAAAGUCGCGGUGAUCAGAAUAUUUCUAAUUGAAAACUGUUCCUUUGAUUGCAAUUGGUAGUAGUAGGUUUUUGUGAAAAAUAUUUUAUUUAUGUAUUUAAGAAUAAAUUAUAUUCAAAUGUUAUCGAUCAA